rnacentral:rRNA from 1 species
AUACGUAGGGUGCGAGCGUUAAUCGGAAUUACUGGGCGUAAAGCGUGCGCAGGCGGUUGUGUAAGUCAGAUGUGAAAUCCCCGGGCUCAACCUGGGAACUGCAUUUGAGACUGCACGGCUAGAGUGUGGCAGAGGGGGUGGAAUUCCACGUGUAGCAGUGAAAUGCGUAGAGAUGUGGAGGAACACCGAUGGCGAAGGCAGCCCCCUGGGCCAAUACUGACGCUCAUGCACGAAAGCGUGGGGAGC